UACGUAGGGCGCAAGCGUUAUCCGGAAUUAUUGGGCGUAAAGAGCUCGUAGGCGGUUUGUCGCGUCUGCCGUGAAAGUCCGGGGCUCAACUCCGGAUCUGCGGUGGGUACGGGCAGACUAGAGUGAUGUAGGGGAGACUGGAAUUCCUGGUGUAGCGGUGAAAUGCGCAGAUAUCAGGAGGAACACCAGUGGCGAAGGCGACUCCUGGCCCACUCUUACGCUGAGGCGCGAAAGCUAGGGGGAGCGAACGGG
rnacentral:rRNA from 1 species